rnacentral:rRNA from 1 species
AAAGGGUCCGCAGGCGGUUAAUUAAGUCUGUUGUCAAAGGUCACAGCUCAACUGUGGAUCGGCAAUGGAAACUGGUUGACUUGAGUGUGGUAGGGGUAGAGGGAAUUCCCGGUGUAGCGGUGAAAUGCGUAGAUAUCGGGAAGAACACCAGUGGCGAAGGCGCUCUACUGGGCCACAACUGACGCUGAGGGACGAAAGCUAGGGGAGCGAAAGGGAUUAGAUACCCCAGU